GCUUCCCGCCGUGCCCCGCGCGCCAUGGCCGCGCCGGAAGUGGCGCGCGGUCGCCAUGGCAACCCCGGCCCGCCGCGGCCAUGGCGGAGCCGCAGGACGCCACGGUUUCUUCAUCGCCAGCGGCUACAGAACCUACAAAACCCCGUCCUAAAAAAGCCCCAGAGCUGCCAAUCCUAGAGAGGAAGAACUGGCUGAUUUAUCUGCUCUACGUCCGCAGAGACUACGAGGAGUGUAAGGCUGUCAUCAAAGAGCAGCUCCAGGAGUCCCAAGGGCUCUGUGAAUAUGCUGUCUAUGUUCAAGCUUUGAUAUUUCGCUUGGAGGGGAAAAUUCAAGAAUCUCUUGAACUUUUCCAGACAUGUUCCAUUCUGAACCCUCGAAGCGCUGACAACCUCAAGCAGGUGGCACGAUCCCUGUUUCUCCUGGGGAAGCACAAGGCAGCCAUCGAAGUGUACAAUGAAGCAGCAAAACUCGAUGAGAAGGACUGGGAGAUCAGCCACAACCUGGGUGUGUGCUACAUGUACCUGAAACACUUCAACAAGGCACGAGACCAGCUCAACAAUGCCCUGGAGCUCAACAGACAUGACCUGACCUACAUGAUGCUGGGCAAAAUUCACCUCUUGGAGGGGGAGGUGGAUAAAGCCAUUGAAGUAUAUAAGAAAGCUGUAGAGUUUUCUCCAGAAAACACAGAUCUCCUCACAGCUCUGGGCCUACUGUACCUGCAGACUGGUGAGUACCAGAAGGCUUUUGAACACCUUGGAAAUGUGCUUACCUACGACCCAGGCAACUACAAGGCCACCCUGGCUGCUGGCAGCAUGAUGCAGGCCCACGGGGAUUUCGACGUCGCCCUCUCCAAGUACAAGGUGGUGGCCAGCAGUGUUCCUGAGAGCCCCCCACUCUGGAACAACAUUGGCAUGUGCUUCUUUGGGAAGAAGAAAUACGUGGCAGCUGUCAGCUGCCUAAAGAGGGCAAACUACCUGGCUCCCUUUGACUGGAAGAUCCUGUACAACCUGGGCUUGGUGCACCUCACAAUGCAGCAGUAUGCCUCAGCCUUCCACUUCCUCAGUGCUGCCAUCAACUUCCAGCCCAAGAUGGCAGAGCUCUACAUGCUCCUGGCAGUUGCUCUGACCAACCUUGAGGACAUCGAGAACGCCAAGUGUUCCUAUGAGCAAGCUGUGGCCUUGGACAAGUGCAACCCCCUCAUCAACCUGAACUACGCCGUGCUGCUCUACAACCAGGGCGACAAGCAGGGGGCCCUGGGCCAGUACCGGGAGAUGGAGAGGAAGGUCAGCCUGGCCAGGGAGGGCAGCACGCCCGACUUCGACCCUGAGAUGGUGGAGAUGGCCCAGAAGAUGGGGGCUGCCCUGCAGGUCGGGGAGAGCCUGGUCUGGACCAAGCCUUCUAAAGAGUCCAAAUCCAAGCAGAAAGCUGCUGUGUCAGGGAAAUCCAGCUCUCAGCAGCCUUUGGGAUCCAACCAGGCCCUGGGUCAAGCCAUGUCCUCUGCUGCAGGAUAUGGGAAAACCAUGCAGCUCCCCCCAGGUGCUGCAACACCAGCUCUGCCAAAAAAGCGUCCCUCCCUGCCUCUGGAACCAGAACAGGAGCAGGACUCAGAAACGAGCCCUGAGGAGAGCUCAGCCCCCACAGGGGACGAGGAGCAGGGGAAGGAGAAGCACCAGAGCCAGGAGGCAGCAGAGUGUCCUUCCUGCUGGGUUUUGUGUCAGUUCAGCCCCAGGGCAGCACUUCUGUAAGGAUUCCCUCCUGCCAGGAGUUAAAUUUUUUGUAGAGCACUGGCAAAUUGAAACAAACCAGACAAGAAGCAGUGUCAGUCAGAGUCUGCAUCAGUGCCUCCCUGAGAAUUCUGCCUGGAUCCAGCUGAGACACCAACAGGAAACUGCUCCAGAGUGAAAGAGGAGAACUUCAUCCAGCAUCUCCAAGAGGUAGAACCAGCAUUCCUGGCUCUGAGAUCCAAGUUUUACUGCCAAGGUUACUCAGACCCAGUAUUCUCCUCUGGUUUUCUCCUGUUCUCCCCAACACUCUGAGGUUCCUUAGCCCAGGAACAGCAAGGCAGCAGUUGUGUGACACAAGUCUGUGCCAGUGCUGCUCUGGAACAGAUUGCACAGAGACAAUACUGGCACAGAGACACUUGAGCUGUUCACCCACUCACAACCCUCAGCUUUCACCUAAGCUGCAAGCUCCAAAAGAACCCCCAACCAACAUUUUAGGAUAACUGGAAAUUGAGUUCUGUUGUACCAUUUCACAGAACUGUCCCAUUAUUCAACUCUUUGCUCAGGACAUGGCUGGAAAAGUCACCCUGUGGCACACAAACCUUGAUAAUUCAGUGUAUCAUUACAGAAUAAAUAGUAAAAAAAGAACCCAAGCACAACUGCUGACGGUUUUCCAUUGGGUUUUGGAAUGGAUUUAGUGCUCUGCUGCUCUCCAGGCUUUGGAUUCCAGUGGCUAAUGAGUUGAGCAAAGCUCUAAAACACCCAGCACAAAGCAGUUAAUGAGGUCUUUGCCAAAGGCUGAGGAAGAACAUUUCAGCACCAGUUCUGUCAAUGAACUUGGGAAGGGAGGUCAAACGUGGCUGGAUCUCACACAUCCCAACAGGACACAACCAGGAAACAAAAGAAAAUCAAGUAAUUCUUAGUAGUGCUGAGAAACUCCCCUGGAGAGGAACAGAGGUAAAGAGCCUUUCAAAUGGCAAGAGUUGGAUUUGGGAUUGGCUCUUCCAUGGCACAGCACCAAGGG